AAGAAGAAGAAGAAGGACCCUCCUUUUCAGAGUCAUUCACAAAUGUGCAAGGCAAAAUUGUGCAGCAGCAGGUUGAAUCCUCAGAUUGCAGUAUAGUUAUUUUGGUGUGCGUGCAUCUAAUGAACCACACCCAAGCUCCCAAGCUUUCAUUCAUCUGAUCAUCUCUGUUCUGUGUUGUGGGUGUGAAGACUUAAUGUGUAAUAAAUCUUUGAACGAC